UACGUAGGGCGCAAGCGUUAUCCGGAAUUAUUGGGCGUAAAGAGCUCGUAGGCGGUUGUCGCGUCUGCCGUGAAAGUCCGGGCUCAACUCCGGAUCUGCGGUGGUACGGGCAGACUAGAGUGAUGUAGGGGAGACUGGAAUUCCUGGUGUAGCGGUAGAAAUGCGCAGAUAUCAGGAGGAACACCGGUGGCGAAGGCGGUCUCCUGGGCCGAUACUGACGCUGAGGAGCGAAAGCGUGGGGAGCGAACAGG
rnacentral:rRNA from 1 species